rnacentral:lncRNA from 1 species
GUCUCCUUCACGGCCACGAUCUCUGUCUCCUUCACGAUCCCUACCUCUAUCCCUAUCAGGAUAUUCACGACUCUGGCUGCGGCGACUAUUUGGAGAUCUUCUUAUGUCCUCACUGCCAUUUCUUUGAGGGGGUGGAGGAGGUAAAGUACGGCGGACAGGUGAAGAGUCCCUUGUAGAGGCACGAUGUGGAGCCCGCUGACCAAAUGAGACUGAAAGGGCAGCUUUCACAGAAGGAGGUCGACGGGCAGUGUCAUCUGAACCAUGGCGAGUAGUUUCCCCUGUUGUACCACAAUGUGUAGUGGGAAGCUUACACUUUUCAAGAUUUGACACAACCUGCCGCAGUACAGCAACUGGGAUGCGAGGAAGAAUUGUAUCAAAGUAAUACUGAAACAGAAAUAAAAGACUCAUCAAUAUCAUUCAUUAAAGUUAAAUAUCUGGGAAUCAAAGGGGUAACAUAAAAACUUGGAAAAGUUUGUGUCAAUGAUGAAGGCCUUACAUAUUAUGCACAAAGUACCCAAAAUCAUAAAACAUCAAAACAAAUAGCUCCCACAAAUGAUAACUACCAGUCUACCACAAAGGGGUGGAAACUUCUUAACCCAAAGAAACAGUAAGCAUAUGCUAUAAAUACUAAGUAUUAAUAAAAAAACUAAAUAGGAAGAAAAAGAUUGUGCUCAUGAUCUGUUAUCGGGAUAAAGUUCAGGGAAACAAAAAAGUAUGAAUGCAAUUCGAGAGAAGGACGAAAAAGUAAAGUGAUUAUGCAUCCAAUCCAUACACAAUUACACAUGAUAACCAACAGAGAGGGCAGCAUAUUAGAAGCAUUUAGAUUCUCUCCAAAAGCAUGCGAUGCAUUAAAAACAUAAGCAUAUAUCCUUUAUGGUACGUGUUCCCAAAAUUUUCAACAGGUUUGAAUCAUUCAAUUUCAAAUCGACGAGAGAUAUCAUACAAUUCCUUGGUUUAGUGCUAAUGCUUCACAGCAUAAAGUCAAGAAUAAGCAUCCCAAAACACCCUUGCAAAUAUGCAAAUAAACGGAAGAUUAAAUUUUGACCACCAAUAAUAACAGUAUAGUAGCACAGCUAACUGACAAGUAAAAGAUCAACAAAGGAAUGAGAAUGUUGAUUUUUUCCAAGCAUUUCAGCCAAGGUAGAAUGUUAUAUACAUCCAUAUACUUCAAAUAAAUAAUAAAUUCAAAAUAUAUAGAAUCAUAUGAUGCAUAAACAUGCAGAUUAAUAUACACUCGUUAGCAAAAAUAUCAAACUGCAAAUGAACAUAAGAAAUAGAGAAGGUCACAAGCCAUCCCUAAAAGUAAGAGAAACUUGGACUAGCUCAUUCACUGUUUAGAAGUAUAUAAAAUUUGAAAGUGAAUAUUAAAUGCAGAGUUGAUGAUAUGAGAGACAAAUAUCAGCUCAAACUAGGAAAGAGCGACAAAGAGGAAAGGGUGACAGGUGAGAUGUGAAAACCCCAUUUUAGUCCGUGAAAGAUAUGAAUGUUAUCAAUUUGCUCCCACACAUAUUACUUUUAUCAAUUUGAUCACUUGUAGUUGAAAACUUUGAAUUGCCAAUAUCAGAGUUCACCACUCUAAAUAAUGAAGGUGAAUGAUCAAUGAUGUGUGGACAAGAUCUGAUGAAUGAACUAAAAUAUUGGGCUUUUGAACUACGGGAGAUCAAAUUUACCCAUAAGGAACUAAAUUGAUAUAUGCGUAUCUUUCAGGGAAUAAAAUAGGGGUUUACUCCAAAGCAACUGAUUCAAAAAAAUCCUAUCCCUACCUCUAUCCCUAUCAGGAUAUUCACGACUCUGGCUGCGGCGACUAUUUGGAGAUCUUCUUAUGUCCUCACUGCCAUUUCUUUGAGGGGGUGGAGGAGGUAAAGUACGGCGGACAGGUGAAGAGUCCCUUGUAGAGGCACGAUGUGGAGCCCGCUGACCAAAUGAGACUGAAAGGGCAGCUUUCACAGAAGGAGGUCGACGGGCAGUGUCAUCUGAACCAUGGCGAGUAGUUUCCCCUGUUGUACCACAAUGUGUAGUGGGAAGCUUACACUUUUCAAGAUUUGAC